GGGUCUGGGGGAGGGGCCAGGCCCUGCUCAGGGUGGGCAAACCUGAGAGAGCCGACCUGGGGGGAGCAUGGGACGCAGGGCAGGGAGUAACUGGUGGGCGCAGGACAGGGACGUGCUGGGCGGUGGGGGCGCCCCGACGGAGGGUGCACGGGUUAUAUAAAUGUUCCCUGGCACCGCUGCGAGGCGGCCGAGAGCGAUUGCCUCAUCUUAUCAGGGUACUCUGCGUCCCACACACUCCUCUUGCCCAAGCCCCAGGCAGGGGUGGGGACAGUGUGUUCCCUUCCCCAAAGCCGCAAGGGGCCCAGUGGCGGGGAGCAGGGGCUCUCCUCUCUCUCCGCGACCCCGCCCCUGUCCCUGCCACCAGCCGCACCUGCACUGGCUCAGAACUGUGCCUGUUCCAGCUCAGACCCAGCUCAGCCUUGGGCUGCAGUGAAAUGCCCUCCCGUUUUGCCCUCCUGUCCAAAGGGCGUGCUCCCAAUUAUCGCAAUCGCGCUAUCAUCACUGGCCACACUGCCAGCCCCCAAAAGGAAGCUCUGAUCUGUGGCCACUGGCAUGAAGUCAUGUCCAGCUCCAGCCUCAAGACUGCCAUGUUCUCCACUCCAGGGAAUCCCGCUCACCCUCCUGCUCUGGGGCAGCUUGGCAGAUGUCAGCCACUGGGGCUGAUCAAUGGCCAGCCUCCAAGGAAACCCAGGCGCACAGCAGCCUUGGGGUCAGCAAAACGUCCUGUCUGUGGUGGGGAACAGGCUUCAUUACUUUAUUUAGAAGGCCAUUUCGCUGCUCUACUGGUCACUGAAAAUACUGGUUUAAAGACUCAUGUGGAGGUGACACGCAGAUGUCCCAUCUCCCAGGAAGUCCAGGAUGGAAGUUCUUACCCACCAUGGUACAGGUGAGGGGGGUGAAGCCCAGGAGGAGAGAGAGCUGCCACUCAGCAGGAACCCCUCUUGCCCUAAGACUCAGCUGUAGCAGCAGGAGCUUUCUGCGUGGAAGCAGCCCUGCACUGAGCAGCGCUGCCCUGGCCCCACUCCUGCGCUCCUAUUCGUUUACUGACAGCCCCGGGAGUGUCCUCCAGCCUGUUGCUCAGUCACUGUGAGGCUAAGUGGGAGAAGACACCUGCUAAUAGGAGAUACACAGUUAUCGCCAGUAGGGCUCCUGAGCAGUGCUUGUGUGAGCAAGCUAGCAGCAAACAACCGUGGCAAGAACCACUGGUUGCACGUGGAAGCCCCAUACCAGGCAGGGCUCGCCCAGGCCCUGGUCCUGGCCCCAGCCCAGGGUGCUCUGGACUGGUGCUGUUGUGGGUGCACGUGUGUUACUGAUCACAUGCUCCCUUUCACUCUUGCACAUGCCAGAGCUGGCGGGACAUGAAGGGAGGUGGCGCCGGGCUGGAGACUGUUACAUACAGCCUCAGGGGUGCUGCUGAAACAAGAAAAUAUGCCUUUUGUAGACAUGUGUGUCUCCUCACUUCUACAAUGGAUCCAAGUGUAUUUUUAAAAUAGGCGUUUUUAUUAUUGUUGCUUUGCUUUGCUUUGGAAUAGGAUAACUUGAUUUUAAAAGUCAUGAAGAUAAACAAAUAGAAAGAACUCUGAAAAAAAAAAACAAUGGUGGGAGGGGAACCAGACCACCAGAUAUCCAACAUACCAUCCCAUAAGCUGGUAACUGACCAGUGGGGCAGAGCAGAGAUGCAGGAACUAGACUCAAAGUCAGUGGGACCCCAUGUUUAGCAUAAAGUAACAUCUCAGAUGGAGUUGUGGGGGCGAGUCCAAAAUAGGUGUUUGGACAACUAAGUAGCAUCUGGGAAGAAAGUAAGGUCCAUGCUUCACACCACGAUAAAUUCCAAAUGGGUUAAAGAUUUAAAUGUGAAAAAUGAAACCACAGAUGUUCAAGGAGAAAACAUGAGAACUCCCCUUUAUGAUGUAAGGACAGAAGGUCUUCCUAUGAAUCAAAGCCCAGAAGCCAUAAAUGAAAAGAUCGAUAAACCUGAUUACAAAAGCACAAGGUACUUCUCCAUGGACAAAGUCACCAUAAGCAAAGGCAAAAGAUAAAUGACAAACUGAGAAAAAAAUAUGUGCAGCUCAUCUAUCACAAAGGACUAGCCUCCAACAUAGGAAGAGCUCACAGAAUUAAAGGGAAAAACCAACGCCCAACAGAAGAUGGCAAAGGCUACACUAGACAGGUGAUCAAAAGGAAAUGCAAUGACUCAAACAUCUGAAAGAUGCUUAGCCUUGCCCACUGAGAGACAAACACUAACCAGACCCCACUGAAAUCUAGCUGCUUACCUACCAGGGAAGUGAGGCUGGGGGAACACUUCACUGACAGAAAGACAGCUUGUCAAAACCUCUGUGGUGGGUGACUGGGCAAUACCUACAAAAAUUCUGACCCCACAAACCAACUUUUGGGAACCUAUUCCACAAACGCACGUGCACGCCUACAAAAUGGGAUAUAUGCCUGAUUAUUCAAUGCAGCAAAAGCCUCAGAACGCACGUCCUUACACGGAGCACUUUCUCUGAGCUGAAUGGAGUGACUCACAUCAAGCUCCCUUACCCCCCUUUUCUUUGCAAUCUUGAAGGAAACACUCCCCUGCUUCAGAAGCCAGAGCUCCAUCAACAACCCUGCUCUGGGAAUCUUAGACAUACUGUCCACCCAGCGCUGACAGCUCAGAAGUGACAGAUGCUUCAAUAGGUUUUCACAGCAAUUUUCUCCAAAAAUAAGGAAAAGCAAGGACAUGAGUUUGGAAUCCACAAUUAAUGAUCCAGAAUAAAGAACUCUCAAAUCUCAGCAAUAAGCAAACACCUGAUUUUAAAAAUGAACAAAAAGUGUGAACUCAGCCAAAGAAGAUAUAGAUGGCAAACAUCUAUGGUGAAAAGAUGCUCCAUAUCAUUUGUCAUUAGAGACAGGCAGAGUAAACGAGGAGAGGACACCACACUAAAUGAGUUUGGCAGUUUCUUGUGAGGUUAGAAAUGUCACUGUACAACCAGGCAAUCCCACUCCUAGGCAUUUACCAAGUGAACUGAAAACCCAUCCGCAAAUGUUUAAUAUAGCACCUUUAUUCACAUUCAGCAAAAACUGGAGGCAAGCACUUUUUAUAGGUGAAAUGGUGGUGUAUCCACACAAUGGAGUACUAUUCAGUGAUAAAAAGGAAGGAGCUAUUGAUUCACACACAAAAUGGAUGACCCUUAAAUGCAUUUUGCUAAGUCAAAGAAGCUAGACCCAAAAGUCUAUAUAUUGUAUGACUCUUGUCAUAUGACAUUCUGUCAAGAGCAAAACUGUAAGGACAGAAAACACGGCAGGGGUUGGGGAUCAGGGAACAGUUGACCACAAGGGGGAUUUUUAGGGUAAUGGAACUGUUCUGCAUGUCCCUGGGGUGGUGGAUACCAGACUCUACUUGGGUCAAAACCUACAGGACUGUGCACCACAGAAUGCACUUAAACAUAUGCAAAUACUUAACAUGUAAAGGAAGCUAGGGUCUCUGACUGGAUGACAAAUGUAAGACCUGGCCUCUUAGGAGGGGGUGGGUAAAAGAAGCUGACCUAAGGAAUUUGGGAAAAUGGUGGUUUGGCUAGAAACUGAAAGAUUACAGACAAAAGGAACUAUACUUAAAUAUGCUCUCAUUUCUCAUGAGAAUGUGGGUUAACAAUUCUGAAACUGCUUCACAUGGAUGCUGUGGCUAAACCAACAGGUGACUACUGCACAGCAGCUGGGGGGAGCCGUAUCUCACUCUGGGAGAGGUAAGUUACAGACCAGCAGGGGGUGAGUGAGAAUGUGCCCUUCCUGAGGGGCCGCCCCAGAGUCAACAUUGGUGUGAUCUCAUGUUCAGUCCCAUGUGCAUACCGAGGGGCAAGGAGAUGAUUAAAGGCAUGUGUGUGUAAAUGGGCUGGUACACACAUGUAUGAACUCUGUCCACUGGGUCUGAAGCAGCAACACUCCAGGAGCAAGGAACACACCCAGCGCCGAGACCUUGGUUUCUAGAUGCCAUUUUCCAAUAAAGGAAACAGGGACCUUAGGAGAAAUGACUGAUCCUGGGACUACAGCAGGAAAAGUACAAGAUAAGCCUGAAGCAUCUUGUGAUGCCAGGAAGUAAGGAAGUACACAAAAAACCAAUGAUGGGGGCAAAAGGCUGCAGAAGUCAACCUGACCAGAGUUCCUGGCCAAGCCUGGAUCGUUCAGGCAACAAAAUAAACAUCAGGGGUAAGUCACGUGGAUAGCAUCCUCCCACUUACCAAAGGGAGAUGUGAGGGACAGGAAGGGCACUUCGCCAGUGCAGUACUAGUCCCCAAAAGCCAAAAACCAGUCUAUGCACGAAAAAGACAUCAGGCAAGUGCAAACUGAGGGACAUUCUACAACUACCUGGCUACCACCCUUCAAAACUGUCAAGGUCCUGGAAAACAAGGAGAGUCUGUGAAACUACAACAGCCCUCAGAAGCCUAAGGCAUGAUGACUGUAGUUCAGAUAAUGAAUUAUAGAAAACCCAUUUGACUCACAUUUUGGAUCACUACAGAGGUGACUAUGUAGCCCAUUUCUGAAUAAGUCAGUACUUCCAAGAGAAUGCAAAUAGUUAAUACAGCUCAGUUGCUGGAGAAAGUCAAUGAUUUCUGAGGCUCCUCAAAUGCUUUGGGACACUGGCCCACGCAGUGGUCACCUUUGCCAACUGGACAUUUCCCUGAUGAAUGACUGCCCACCUCGAGCACAAACACAUGGGAGCCACCCAGCAAUUGUGGCAGUGACAACUAGGGCAUGUGGCCCAGCACCAUGCUCCAUGUCUUCUCUUCCUGGAGAACGUGACUUCAGUUCCCAACAGCAAAGCACAGGUAGGAAUGCUCCCUUCCCGACUCCCCUCAGCUGUCACUGGUUUUGGGAAUGGAUUCUGGCCAUUGAGUUCUACAUAAGCCACUGGGCGUGUUCCCUCUGCCCUUCGCCCUUGCCCUUCUUUCUGCCUGGAGUAUGUUCCAAUCUUGUAGGAGCAGUAGGUGUCAUACAGUCACGGGGUGGAAUGCCUGGCUAAAUCCAUAUACCAACAAUGACUGAAGAGAAAGAGACAACGAGCCUGAGUCCCAGGUGGUGCCCCGGAGCAGCACACCAGUCCUGGAUACCCACAUCAGGACCUGUAACCUGAGAAAAACAAGCCAAAGCCUGCCAAUCUCGGGGUUAGCCUUUCUCCUUCCCCUGCACAAACGUCUUCUCGUGAGCUACUGCUCCCAGAAUACUGCUCACUGAAGCUCUGGCUGUAUAAUUUCUGGAUAACAUCACUGGACAGGAACAAAAAGAGGCCACUGGCUAACUAGGGGCUGGACAGCACAGCCUACCACAGCGCUGAGAGCCUGUGCUGGGAAGGGCUUCUCUCGCUGACAAGGGGAGGGCCUCAUGUUACUCUCACCCCAACCCAGACCUUCCUACCCUAGACCAAAUGCCAAGUGGGCACUUUGGAAAAAGAUGGCAGCUCACCACCUUCCCAUCCCCAGAUCCCUUUAAAAUGAAAGAAAAGGAUUUAAAGGACAAAGUGAAAGGAGAUAAUCAUUGGGAAGCUGGAAAUUAGCAAGAUGUUAGAGAAAGCAAAGAAGCAGCUCUUACUACUCUGUAAAACAUGACCUCCACCCCUGCAAAGGACCAGGACUGCCUGGUUGGGGGGUACAGUGGGGCUAAAAGAGGGGGCACCUGAACAUUAAUUAGAGAAGCGGUGGACACAGCAUGGUGACCUCUCUGCCUCACAUAUGGCUGCUGCCUUUCCUGCACUUGCCGAAGACCAGUUCCUGUCUGAGCAGGUCAGCAGAGGCGGGGGCCCAGGACUAGGGACCCCAGACAGGGUUCAGGGCAGGGCAGCUUCUUGGACGGGGGCUUGAGGAACAGCCUGCUAGACCAUGUUGCCAUGUCCAGCAGUCUCCCUGCCUGGCUCCCUGGGCAGGGCUACACCCCCAGGCAGGGACAGAGAGUCACUGAGACCCCUGUGCACCUGGACCCCCAACCAGCUCCCAGCCUCUGGGCAGCAUCCCAGACACAAAGUGUCAUCAGACACCAAGAAAAGCCUCUGACGCCAGUGGACAAGAGAGAUCAGCAAGCAGAAGGCCCAGAGGAUGCAGGGACUGCACCACGUGGGGUGAAGCAAACUUCCAGAGCUGCCACUCAACCUCAGAGGUAAGAUAUGAGUCUGUAAAGCCACAACUGGAUGGUCCUCAAAAAAAGGAGACCCAAACCCAAGUCUGAAAGUGAAGACAAAGCAGGAGAAUAUGGCAGAGACUGAAUCUCACUUUGAGAGUUGGAAGAGAACACUGGGAAAGUCCCUCCAAAAGCAGAUGGAAGAUGGAAAGACGGAUGAGAAGAGGCAAAAGGCAUGAAAAUGGAGUGGUCAGCCCAACAAUUCCAGUCCAGAUAGAAGAACCCAGAGACCUCAGAGACACAGAGGUGGCCAUCACCCAGAGCAAGAGCAAGGGUGGGCCCCAGACUCUGAGGGCUCUCGAGGCUGCACCAAGGGGCCCACUGCAGGAAACCAAGCCUGGCCCACGUGCCUCCGCUCAGCCCGGGAGCCUGGGCUAAAGACUGCAGCCCAAAGUUCCAGGGAAGGAAAUCAGGAAUCAGAAUGGCUUCAGCCUUCUCGACAGCAACAUUGGAGACCCAAGACAGUGCGGCGAGUCCCUCUAAACUCCGGAGCAAACACGGGACCUGUGACCUGACACCCAGGCCAACGUGAACCAAGUGCUAGACCAGGAACAAGACACUCCAGACACGUGAAUAUUCAAAAAAACUGCCUCCCACACCAUCCUUUGGGCUCCGCUAAAAACUAGAGGGGUGGGUUCGAGGAAAUGCAGCCCAAGUGGUGGGGAGGGGCCUCAGGACACAGCGACCACCAGUCUGGAUCUGUCAGAGUCUGGAGAUGCUACAUGGGCAGGGGAGGUGGGGAUGAGUCAAUGACAACAGCGCUGAGAGAACCAGGCAAAAAGGGUAACUCUCCAGUCUAAGGGAAAGCAAGCACAUGUGGCAGCCGGGUCCCCUGCAACUGGCAUUUACUCAACGCUGUCUCUGAAUACUAAUGCUGACCUAACCCAAUACCCCACUGUCACAGUGCAGGAUGGGGGUGACAGGGAGCUCAUCUCUCAUCUGCCAUCACAGGAAGUCAGCAGAUGAUGCUACAGCCGAAACAUGGAGAAGAACCCCUUCUGAUGGAAAGCUAGGAAGGAAAUACCAAGAAGGCGGUUGAAGAAGCCAACAGUGGCUGCCUUUGGGAGGGGGACCAGGAAUGUUGGGGCACAUAAUAAAAUGUGCAGGACAAUUUGGUCUUUGGGCUACAUUUAUUAUAGUGUGCAUUACUCUAAUAAAAUUGUUAAAAUAGUAUAUAAAAUGGGACAGGGUAACAUUCUCAGCAGCCAAAACUUCCCUUAGAGAACCACCCUGCUGUCCUGGCCACCCCACUCCAGGAAUGGUGUGAGGCUGUAGGUGCUGCCAGGGGUGUGGACGGCACACCAGCCCUGCUCCUCCUGCCCUCCUGCGAGAGAAAAGCUCACUGGGCAGCCCGGCCUCCUCCCUGCCUACCCGGGCUAUCCUAGUACUGCCUUUGAUUGCUUACAUUGUUGCUUUUGAUUACCUGUCCAGAAUAGUUCAACACUGACAGAUGGUUACUUCCUGGGUGCCUUCUACCUGGCAACAAAGUUCUGACGUGAGACUAGGGACAGUGAGAGGGGACUCAGGUGAAGACCCAUGCCCCUUCCUGACUCUGACCAAUCGUCCAGGGUAACUUCAGACUUUGGCUUUCUUUAGGCCACAUUUUAUUCAUGUUAUUCUAGGAUUAGACAUGUUGGACUUUCAUUUAAAAGUGUGCAGCACUGAAACAUUAAUGGACAACCUGAUACGGUGUCUGGGGUUUCCUCGAAAACAACUGAGGCUAGGGCGGAGGGGGUGCUGAAGGUCUGCUGCUCCUCUUGUGCUCCUCUUGGC